CCUGGCGGCCUUAGCGCGGUGGUCCCACCUGACCCCAUGCCGAACUCAGAAGUGAAACGCCGUAGCGCCGAUGGUAGUGUGGGGUCUCCCCAUGCGAGAGUAGGGAACUGCCAGGG
rnacentral:rRNA from 1 species